UAUAUGCGAUGAAGCAAGAGGUAGCCGGACUUUAGGGAAUUCUUGUGGAGUAUGCCACAUCAAGAAUGUGGCGGCGG
rfam:Clostridium bornimense replicon M2/40_rep1, complete genome, type strain M2/40T